GACGAACGCUGGCGGCGUGCUUAACACAUGCAAGUCGAACGGAAAGGCCCUGCUUUCGUGGGGUGCUCGAGUGGCGAAAGGGUGAGUAACCCGUGAGUAACCUGCCCUUGACUUUGGGAUAACUUCAGGAAACUGGGGCUAAUACCGGAUAGGAGCUCCUGCUGCAUGGUGGGGGUCGGAAAGUUUCGGCGGUUGGGGAUGGACUCUCGGCUUAUCAGCUUGUUGGUGGGGUAGUGGCUUACCAAGGCUUUGACGGGUAGCCGGCCUGAGAGGGUGACCGGGCACAUGGGGACUGAGAUACGGCGCAGACUGCAACAGGAGGCAGCAGUGGGGAAUAUUGCACAGUGGGCGGGAGCCUGAUGCGGCAACGCCGCGUGCGGGAUGACGGCCUACGUGGUGUAAAGCGCAUUCGCCUGUGACGAAGCGGGAGUGACGGUAAUGGGUAAAGAAGCACCGGCUAACUACGUG
rnacentral:rRNA from 1 species